GCGUGAGUGAAGAAGGCCUUAGGGUUGUAAAGCUCUUUCGGCGGGGACGAUGAUGACGGUACCCGCAGAAGAAGCCCCGGCUAACUCCGUGCCAGCAGCCGCGGUAAUACGGAGGGGGCUAGCGUUGUUCGGAAUUACUGGGCGUAAAGGGCGCGUAGGCGGCGCGAUAAGUUGGGCGUGAAAGGCCCGGGCUCAACCCGGGGACUGCGCUUGAUACUGUCGCGCUGUGAGUCCGGGAGAGGAUGGCGGAAUUCCCAGUGUAGAGGUGAAAUUCGU
rnacentral:rRNA from 1 species